rnacentral:lncRNA from 10 species
CGGGGAUGGACCUCCAGAUUUCCUUACUGAGACGGAGUCUUGCUAUGUUGCCCAGGCUGGUCUUGAACUCCUCACCUCAAGCGAUCCUCCCGUCUUGGCCUCCCAAGUGUCAGGAUUACGGGCAUGUGCUAUCACACCCAACCUGAUACAUUGCCUUUAUAAAUUUUUUUUUCUUUAUUCUAAAAACCAGAAAAAACAAAACUGGAUACAUGUGCAGAACAUGCAGGUGAGACGUGGUCUUGUAACACAGUGGUUAAGAAUGUGACUUUGGAGCCAGCCUGCUAGGGGCUGAAUUCUGACUCAGCCAUUUACUAACUGUGUGACCUUAGGUCACAGAAUUUUCCACACUCCUUGACAGAGGUGCUUAACCCUUAUCCAUCAGCAUUCUCAGACAGCACCUCCGGUUAGGGACAGUAUCUGACCGUCCGACAUCCCUGCAGCCCCCAUGUGUCACACAGACUCAGCCUCAGGUAGAUGGUUUCCGUAGAUGGUGGCUUUCUUUGGACCCUUGACAUCAACCAGUUACUAUUUGGGGACCAGAUGUGCAGAGGUAAUGAAUACCAGGGAAUCAGGAAACCACUGGAUCAGUUCUUUGAGCCACAGAACAACACUCAUCCCAGCAGCUGGGAAGCUAUCUGCAAAAGUCCAUCUGCAGAAAGGGCUUCCUGGUCUUGCGUGUGGCUGGGCCAUUUCUCUGGAUGCAGGUUUUUCAUUAUACAGUCUUCUCAAAG